GGGCUAGUAGCACAGUGGUAGCGCGCUUCCCUUGCAAGGAAGAGGUCACCGGUUCGAUCCCGGUCUAGUCCA